AAUCUUGUUGCAGGUCUAAAGACCACCCCUUCAGUGUCAAUCAAAUUUCAUGAAAGAGAGCAUAAGGAUACUCUGCUGAAUAAGAACCAAUAGAUUCUCUUUUGCCCACUUAUGGCAACUUCCGCUGAACAAAACUAUAACCUUUAAACACAAAACUAUGAUGCCUCAUUUUUACCAAUGAAGGGCAGCGGAUGACAUCAUGGAAAGAGUCUGCAUUGCUCUGAUUAUGAUAAAUUUGUCUUACAGUCAAGUCAGCGAGACAUUCACUGAAGCAACUUCAUCAAGGGUGGUCCAGCUUGGGGACACCGUUACACUGCACUGUGAUGUGAAACACGAUAAGGAAACCAUGUGGCACGGACAACGCCACGGCAAAGUUCCAUUUAUCAUCAUUGCAGCCAAAGACAAAGAUGGAAAACCAGGCCAGACUGAGACCAAAUAUUUCAGAGGCUAUGACCCUCGAUUCAGAACUUUUCCAUUUCCAGCCAAUAACUCGGUCUACCUGAAGAUCGCAAACCUCACCAUACCUGACCUGGGACUCUACUACUGCAGCACGAAGCCUGAUGUACCGAUGCUCACUGGACUUGGCACCAUGCUUGUUCUUGCAGAGAACUGCAACUUCCCCGCCACAACGGUAUCCAAUGGUUCAGCCAUACCAACAAUUGCUCCUGAGGUCGAGCCCGGGGUUCGAGUGCACUGCUGGAUCCUGAUGGCCAUUUUGAUCCCAGUGUGCAUCGUGGUGGGCGCCCUGCUCUACAGAGCCUGCCUCCACUGGAAGCACUGCAGAACGGGGUCAGAAUGUUGUGAGGCACAGAACACAUCCAUGGAUGGAAAUACAGAUGGAAAAGAGGAGGAAGUUGACCCAGAGGUGAUUUAUACAGCAUUAAAAAUCCCAUCCGGAAAAUCAACCCAAACAAGGCGAACGCUGGACACUGAAUAAUGCUGAUAACUGUGGAAAUAAAACUACUAAGGAGUUCUAA